ACUCAAAGGAAUUGACGGGGGCCCGCACAAGCGGUGGAGCAUGUGGUUCAAUUCGAUGCAACGCGCAGAACCUUACCGGGGCUUGACAUGUAGAGGACCGGUGUGGAAACACACCUUCCCUUCGGGGCCUUUGCACAGGUGCUGCAUGGCUGUCGUCAGCUCGUGUCGUGAGAUGUUGGGUUAAGUCCCGCAACGAGCGCAACCCUCGCCCCUUGUUGCCAGCAAGAAAGUUGGGCACUCGAGGGGGACUGCCGGUGAUAAGCCGGAGGAAGGUGGGGAUGACGUCAAGUCCUCAUGGCCUUUAUGUCCCGGGCUACACACGUGCUACAAUGGUCGGUACAAAGGGUUGCAAGACCGCGAGGUGGAGCCAAUCCCACAAAGCCGGCCUCAGUUCGGAUUGCAGUCUGCAACUCGACUGCAUGAAGUCGGAAUCGCUAGUAAUCGCGGAUCAGCAGGCCGCGGUGAAUACGUUCCCGGGCCUUGUACACACCGCCCGU
rnacentral:rRNA from 1 species